rnacentral:lncRNA from 13 species
CGGAUUUCUGAUUGAAUAGCUCUGGAAUGGGAAGAAGACUUCACAUUUCCAACAAGAUCCCAGGUGCUGUUAAGGUCUUUGUUCAGGGACCACACUUUGGAAGACAUUGACCAGGAUCAUGAGUUCCUUAAGGAAUCUUUGCGUUUGAACCAAAAUCUAGCUCGAAUCCACAGACUCAAUGAAGCUCUCAUGCCAACAGUACGGAGUAUGUGCCCAUUGGAAGCAGGGUUGAGGUUCCCUGUCCAGAGAUGGUGAUGCCUGGGCAUGAGGAAGUCUAAAAAGCUCCCCAGUGGAUUCUGAUGCUUAAACAAGGUGAGUGGUUUCCAAGACCCGUCUCAUGAUCUUGCUAAAUCAAAUUAUUUCCCCUUCCCUUGUGCUAUGGGGCUGGCAAUUAGAUCUCCCUAAGAGGGGUUAGGUAUAUAACAUGCUUUAGAAUAGAGAGAUCUAAGUUCUCUCAGAGUAGCACAUGACAAGUUAAUGUAUCUGUGCAUCAGUUUCCUUAUCUGUAAAAUGGGGAUGAACAUAGUAGCACCCACUUCAUCGGUUCUGUGGUGAUUCAUCGAGACAUGCAUGUAAAA